UACGUAGGGUCCGAGCGUUGUCCGGAAUUAUUGGGCGUAAAGGGCUCGUAGGCGGUUUGUCACGUCGGGAGUGAAAACACGGGGCUUAACCCCGUGCCUGCCUCCGAUACGGGCAGACUAGAGGUAUGCAGGGGAGAACGGAAUUCCUGGUGUAGCGGUGAAAUGCGUAGAUAUCAGGAGGAAUACCGGUGGCGAAAGCGACUCUCUGGACGGCAACUGACGCUGAGGCACGAAAGCGUGGGGAGCAAACAGG
rnacentral:rRNA from 1 species